CGGCGGACGGGUGAGUAAUGCAUUGGAACAUGCCUUGAUGUGGGGGAUACCCAGCCGAAAGGUUGGCUAAUACCGCAUGUGACCUCCGGGUCAAAGACGCAAGUCGCAUCAAGAUUGGCCAAUGUCCCAUCAGGUAGUUGGUAGGGUAAUGGCCUACCAAGCCGACGACGGGUAGCUGGUCUGAGAGGAUGGACAGCCACAAGGGAACUGAGACACGGUCCCU
rnacentral:rRNA from 1 species